rnacentral:rRNA from 1 species
GUGGGGAAUUUUGGACAAUGGGGGCAACCCUGAUCCAGCCAUGCCGCGUGCGGGAAGAAGGCCUUCGGGUUGUAAACCGCUUUUGUCAGGGAAGAAAUCCUUUGGGUUAAUACCUCGGAGGGAUGACGGUACCUGAAGAAUAAGCACCGGCUAACUACGUGCCAGCAGCCUCGGUAAUACGUAGGGUGCGAGCGUUAAUCGGAAUUACUGGGCGUAAAGCGUGCGCAGGCGGUUUUGUAAGAUCGAUGUGAAAUCCCCGGGCUCAACCUGGGAACUGCAUUGGUGACUGCAAGGCUGGAGUGCGGCAGAGGGGGAUGGAAUUCCGCGUGUAGCAGUGAAAUGCGUAGAUAUGCGGAGGAACACCGAUGGCGAAGGCAAUCCCCUGGGCCUGCACUGACGCUCAUGCACGAAAGCGUGGGGAGCAAACAGGAUUAGAAACCCGUGUAGUCC